GGAGAGGUCGCAUAGAGGCCCAGUGCAGAGGUUUGCUAAACCUCCGUCCCGCAAAACGGGACACGCGGGUUCGAAUCCCGCCCUCUCCGCCA
rnacentral:tRNA from 1 species